UGAGGAAUAUUGGUCAAUGGGCGCAAGCCUGAACCAGCCUUCCCGCGUGAAGGAAGAAGGCGCUAUGCGUUGUAAACUUCUUUUCCAGGGGGAGAAUUUUUCCGUCGUGACGGGAAUUGACGGUACUCUGGGAAUAAGCAUCGGCUAACUCCGUGCCAGCAGCCGCGGUAAUACGGAGGAUGCGAGCGUUAUCCGGAUUUAUUGGGUUUAAAGGGUGCGUAGGCGGAUUGAUAAGUCAGUGGUGAAAGGCUGCAGCUUAGCUGUAGACUUGCCGUUGAUACUGUCAGUCUUGAGUAUGGCCAAGGCAGGCGGAAUGUGUAAUGUAGCGGUGAAAUGCUUAGAUAUUACACAGAACACCGAUUGCGAAGGCAGCUUGCUGGGCCAUUACUGACGCUCAUGCACGAAAGCGUGGGGAUCGAACAG
rnacentral:rRNA from 1 species